rnacentral:lncRNA from 1 species
CUGACUGCUCUAAAUACUCUCCAUCUACCUCCCCCAGUGCCACCAUUCUGAUUUCUGUGACUCUGACCACUCUAGGAACCUCAGUAGAGAAACUCCAUAGGAUUCAUGUGUGACUGGCUUAUUUCACUACCCAGAGGAUUCCUAGGUCCUUCCAUGUUGUAACAUGUGUCUGAAUUUAACUCUUUUAAUACUGACUAUCUAGUUCAUAGUAGCCCCUCAGGGUUUUUAACUCUUACCUACAGUGCUACUUUGAACUGUGCACAGUUACAGUCUGGUUUGAGCCCUGCUUUCAGUCCUUACAGCACAGAGUUAACAGGAUUACUAGGUCAUUUUCCAGCUUCCCUCUGACCGCUCUGGAUUCAGCACUGUAUUGAGUAAAGUAGCUAACAUGAGAAUCCGUGCAUGGUUUGUUCCUGGAGACAAUAUAGCCCAGGCUGGCCUUGAACUUGUGCUCUUCCUCCUGAAGGCUGGGAUUACAUGCCCAGCUUGGUUUUUGCCUGUGUUAGCAUGACUGCCUCAGCCGCUUCCUCAUGAGGUAGGGUCUCCAGGUGGCUCUGGUUGUUCUAGAACUCAGCAUACACCAAACUGGCACUGAGCUCAGAGAUCGGCCUGCUGCUAGCAUUAAGGGCACGAACUAUACUGCCGGAGCCGCUUUAGAUCCUGUUUGCAUGGAUGUUUUUCUCUCUUCAUUUCCCACACUCAGAUCUAAAGCAGGCCUUUCAGAGACAGCAGUAAGGCUGAAUCACAGAUUUUUUUCCACCUGUCAACCUGCUUCUCCAUUGCUGGUGGACAGAAUCCAUUUACAGCAGUCACAAUUCCUGACAAGUCUGCUUUUUGUAAGCUGUUUGGUUUGGUUUUAUUUUUUUGUUUUUCAAGACCAGGCUGGCCUUGAAAUUCAAAGAUCCAGCUGCCCCUGCUGCCCAAGUACUAAAGGGGAGUACCACCACCGCUAAGAAUGAGGCUGGGCUGUAGUGACACACUUCUUUAAUCCCAGCUCUUGGGAGGCAGGAGCAAAUACAUCUCUGUAAGGUCAAGGCCAUCCUGGUGUACAAAGCAGGCCAACCAGGGCUACCCAAAGAAACCCUGUCUUAUAACAACCAAAAGAAAAGAAAAAGUCAUUGUGUACACACUACAGUAUACAUUGUAGAGCUAUAGGGGCAGAAGGACAACUUGCAAAGAACUCAGUUUUCAUGAUGUGUGUCUUGGAGAUGAAGCCUGGGCCAGUACAUGUGGCAUCAAGCACCACACCCAUCACGCAAACUCACCCGCCCUCGUUUGCGUUCCCUCCUAUAUACUUACUGCUCAGGAGGUGCACUGAGGAUGGUUGCCAAGUCAAGCUAGUAAGAGCCACAGUGUAUCACAGAUGUGUCCAGAGGCCCUGGGCAGGCACUGUGACCAAGGGUCCAGUGUCAGUCCGUUUUCCAGGUGACCUACAAGGACCAUCUAGGGGAUGGGUGGGAGGAGUAGGGGCCAGCACGUGCCCCUGGUGCCUGAGCAGCUCACUUUUUAGGCGCUGACUUCACUAACACCUUCUGUGUUCUGAGCUCCUUCCCGGCUGAACCGUCAGACACAGCAGAGUUCCUGACCCAGCUGACCUCCCAGUGUGCCUCUCUGGAAGAGCUAAAGCUUGCCUUCAGACCCCAGAUGGAUCCCCGGCAGCUCUCUAUGAUGCUGAUGCUGGCACAGUCGAACCCACAGCUCUUUGCACUCAUUGGCACUCAAGCAAAUGUCACAAAGGAGCUGGAACGUGUGGAGCAUCAGUCACGGCUGGAACAGCUGAGCCCCUCUGAACUGCAGAGCAAGAACAGAGACCACUGGGAAACCUGGCUACAGGAAUACAGGUAGGCAGCCCUCAGGGUCAUCUGUACUGGCUUCUUGAUACAAUGGCCAUCUUACAAGGUGGCUGCAGAUGGCCCCGAAUUGGGGGCAUGGCACAUGCUGUUCUUUGGAAAAAUUUGAU